rnacentral:rRNA from 1 species
UACGUAGGGGGCUAGCGUUAUCCGGAAUUACUGGGCGUAAAGGGUGCGUAGGUGGUUUCUUAAGUCAGAGGUGAAAGGCUACGGCUCAACCGUAGUAAGCCUUUGAAACUAGGGAACUUGAGUGCAGAAGAGGAGAGUGGAAUUCCUAGUGUAGCGGUGAAAUGCGUAGAUAUUAGGAGGAACACCAGUUGCGAAGGCGGCUCUCUGGACUGUAACUGACACUGAGGCACGAAAGCGUGGGGAGCAAACAGG